rnacentral:rRNA from 1 species
UACGUAGGGUGCGAGCGUUGUCCGGAAUUACUGGGCGUAAAGAGCUCGUAGGCGGUUUGUCGCGUUGUUCGUGAAAACUCACAGCUUAACUGUGGGCGUGCGGGCGAUACGGGCAGACUGGAGUACUGCAGGGGAGACUGGAAUUCCUGGUGUAGCGGUGGAAUGCGUAGAUAUCAGGAGGAACACCGAUGGCGAAGGCAGGUCUCUGGGCUGACACUGACGCUCAUGCACGAAAGCGUGGGGAGCAAACAGG